UCAGGAAACGUGGGGCUAAUACCGGAUAGGAGCUCCUGCUGCAUGGUGGGGGUUGGAAAGUUUCGGCGGUUGGGGAUGGACUCGCGGCUUAUCAGCUUGUUGGCGGGGUAGUGGCUUACCAAGGCUUUGACGGGUAGCCGGCCUGAGAGGGUGACCGGCCACAUUGGGACUGAGAUACGGCCCAG
rnacentral:rRNA from 1 species